rnacentral:rRNA from 1 species
ACGUAGGUGGCAAGCGUUGUCCGGAAUUAUUGGGCGUAAAGAGCAUGUAGGUGGGGUUUUAAGUCCGAUGUGAAAAUGCGGGGCUCAACCCGGGAUGGCAUUUGAUACUGGAAGUAUUGAGUGCAGGAUGGGAAAGGGGAAUUCCAAGUGUAGCGGUGAAAUGCGUAGAUAUUGGGAGGAACACCAGUGGCGAAGGCGCCUUUCUGGACUGUGUCUCACUCUGUGAUGCUAAAGCUACUGUAGCAACCGG